rnacentral:rRNA from 1 species
CUGGCUCAGGAUGAACGCUGGCGGCGUGCCUAAUACAUGCAAGUCGAACGAGUUCUCGUUGAUGAUCGGUGCUUGCACCGAGAUUCAACAUGGAACGAGUGGCGGACGGGUGAGUAACACGUGGGUAACCUGCCCUUAAGUGGGGGAUAACAUUUGGAAACAGAUGCUAAUACCGCAUAGAUCCAAGAACCGCAUGGUUCUUGGCUGAAAGAUGGCGUAAGCUAUCGCUUUUGGAUGGACCCGCGGCGUAUUAGCUAGUUGGUGAGGUAAUGGCUCACCAAGGCGAUGAUACGUAGCCGAACUGAGAGGUUGAUCGGCCACAUUGGGACUGAGACACGGCCCAAACUCCUACGGGAGGCAGCAGUAGGGAAUCUUCCACAAUGGACGCAAGUCUGAUGGAGCAACGCCGCGUGAGUGAAGAAGGCUUUCGGGUCGUAAAACUCUGUUGUUGGAGAAGAAUGGUCGGCAGAGUAACUGUUGUCGGCGUGACGGUAUCCAACCAGAAAGCCACGGCUAACUACGUGCCAGCAGCCGCGGUAAUACGUAGGUGGCAAGCGUUAUCCGGAUUUAUUGGGCGUAAAGCGAGCGCAGGCGGUUUUUUAAGUCUGAUGUGAAAGCCCUCGGCUUAACCGAGGAAGCGCAUCGGAAACUGGGAAACUUGAGUGCAGAAGAGGACAGUGGAACUCCAUGUGUAGCGGUGAAAUGCGUAGAUAUAUGGAAGAACACCAGUGGCGAAGGCGGCUGUCUGGUCUGUAACUGACGCUGAGGCUCGAAAGCAUGGGUAGCGAACAGGAUUAGAUAC